AUUGAACGCUGGCGGCAGGCCUAACACAUGCAAGUCGAACGAGUGGCGGACGGGUGAGUAAUGUCUGGGAAUCUGCCCGAUGGAGGGGGAUAACUACUGGAAACGGUAGCUAAUACCGCAUACUAUCGGAUGUGCCCAGAUGGGAUUAGCUAGUAGGUGGGGUAAAGGCUCACCUAGGCGACGAUCCCUAGCUGGUCUGAGAGGAUGAUCAGCCACACUGGAACUGAGACACGGCCCAGACUCCUACGGGAGGCAGCAGUGGGGAAUAUUGCACAAUGGGCGCAAGCCUGAUGCAGCCAUGCCGCGUGUAUGAAGAAGGCCUUAGGGUUGUAAAGUACUUUCAGCGAGGAGGCGUUACUCGCAGAAGAAGCACCGGCUAACUCCGUGCCAGCAGCCGCGGUAAUUC
rnacentral:rRNA from 1 species